UCUGCCUUUCUUCAAGGUCUAGGACACACAGCUCUCCUGUGCAAAUAACUCCCAAUUUUCCUGCAUCCAGCUAUCGCCAGCCACUCAGCUAAUAGAAAAAUGCAAGUUAGCUCACUGCAACCUUGGUGUUGUUGGUACUUCACAGAGCCCUGUUCACACACAGCACAAGCACCGUUGUAUAAAAUCACUAGCGAGCCUUUGUCUCUUUGCAGUUAGAUCCUCUCUUGCUGACCUGCCCAUUGCACUCUUGCAACACAUUUUCCUACUUUCUCUAAUAAAUCUACUUUGCUUUACCUACAACUGUCUUGGUAAAUUCUUUUACCCUGCAUCACUGGCCCCAAAUAGUCACAUUUACCUGUGACAUUAUUAUUANNNNNNNNNNCUUGGCUCACUGCAACCUCUGCCUCCUGAGUUCAAGCGAUUCUUGCGCCUCAGCUUCCUGAGUAGUGGGAUUACAGGCACCCACCACCACACCUGGCUACUUUUUGUAUUUUUAGUAUAGAUGGGGUUUUGCCAUGUUGCCCAGGCUGGUCUCAAACUCCUGAGCUCAAUCGAUCCACCUGCCUCAGCCUCCCAAAGUGCUGGGAUUACAGGUGUGAGCCACCGAGCCCAGCCUGAUGUCCCAGGGGAAUUUCUUUAUGCAGACUCCCGAGCCCUCUCCCAGGGCCUACCACUCACCCUCAAUGACAUAGAUCUUCUUCUGCAGCUCAGUGAAUAGAUCUUUCAGCUUCUCAAAUGUGUCCAGAAUUUUCACAAACUCGCUCGCGGGUUUUGAUGCAAAUUUGUGGAGGGUCUCCUGACUCUCCUUGGUCUGAAAAUGCUUUCCAAUCUGUGAGGGAGUGGAGAGUGAGGAGCUGAAAUCCCCCAAACCUCAGUCCAGUUUGCUAUUAUUUUCACAAGAGUCUGGCCCCAGGGAGAAAGGGGCUUGGGGUUCAGAAAGAGGAGAGGGAAGAUGAGAUGCAGGAAGCAGCAGGGGCCCUACCCCAAUGAUGUAGCGGAUGAUGUCUUUGGCCGCAUCGAUGUUGCCACUGUCGGUGGCCUCCCCAUCCGUGAUGAUGAUAAGCACUUUGGUGGCAUCUGGCCGGGCCCCCAGCUCCUCCCGGAACACCUCUGUCCUGUGUCCAGGAAAGGAGGAGAUGAGAGACUCCCCCAAACUAGGGCCUGAGGUCUCCUUCCCCACCUGCUCAUCAAGUCACCUCCAUGCUGGUUACCAGGCGUGAGCCACCGCGCCCAGCCAUGCCUCUUUCUUUCUUUUUCCCUUCCUCUCCCCUCCCCUCCCCUCCACCCCCCCUUCUUUCUUUUUCUUUCUUACUUUUUUUUUUUUUUUUUUUGACGGAGUCUCGCUUUGUCACCCAGUCUGGAGUGCAGUGGUGCGAUCUUGGCUCACUGCAACCUCUGCUUCCCGGGUUCAAGUGAUUCUCCUGCCUCAACCUCCUUAGUAGCUGGGACUA
rnacentral:lncRNA from 1 species